rnacentral:rRNA from 1 species
UGAGUAACGCGUGGGAACGUACCUUUUGGUUCGGAACAACACAGGGAAACUUGUGCUAAUACCGGAUAAGCCCUUACGGGGAAAGAUUUAUCGCCGAAAGAUCGGCCCGCGUCUGAUUAGCUAGUUGGUGGGGUAAUGGCCCACCAAGGCGACGAUCAGUAGCUGGUCUGAGAGGAUGAUCAGCCACAUUGGGACUGAGACACGGCCCAAACUCCUACGGGAGGCAGCAGUGGGGAAUAUUGGACAAUGGGCGCAAGCCUGAUCCAGCCAUGCCGCGUGAGUGAUGAAGGCCCUAGGGUUGUAAAGCUCUUUUGUGCGGGAAGAUAAUGACGGUACCGCAAGAAUAAGCCCCGGCUAACUUCGUGCCAGCAGCCGCGGUAAUACGAAGGGGGCUAGCGUUGCUCGGAAUCACUGGGCGUAAAGGGUGCGUAGGCGGGUCUUUAAGUCAGGGGUGAAAUCCUGGAGCUCAACUCCAGAACUGCCUUUGAUACUGAAGAUCUUGAGUUCGGGAGAGGUGAGUGGAACUGCGAGUGUAGAGGUGAAAUUCGUAGAUAUUCGCA